AUUGAACGCUGGCGGCAUGCUUUACACAUGCAAGUCGAACGGUAACAGGUUAAGCUGACGAGUGGCGAACGGGUGAGUAAUGCAUCGGAACGUGCCCGAUCGUGGGGGAUAACGCAGCGAAAGCUGCGCUAAUACCGCAUACGAUCUGAGGAUGAAAGCGGGGGACCGUAAGGCCUCGCGCGAUCGGAGCGGCCGAUGUCAGAUUAGGUAGUUGGUGGGGUAAGGCCCACCAAGCCGACGAUCUGUAGCUGGUCUGAGAGGACGACCAGCCACACUGGGACUGAGACACGGCCCAGACUCCUACGGGAGGCAGCAGUGGGGAAUCUUGGACAAUGGGCGAAAGCCUGAUCCAGCAAUGCCGCGUGCAGGAAGAAGGCCUUCGGGUUGUAAACUGCUUUUGUACGGAGCGAAAAGGUCCUUUCUAAUACAAGGGGCUUAUGACGGUACCGUAAGAAUAAGCACCGGCUAACUACGUGCCAGCAGCCGCCGUAACAC
rnacentral:rRNA from 1 species